UGGGUCUUGUUUUAGUCGGAUGAGGAGGC
rnacentral:piRNA from 1 species